rnacentral:rRNA from 1 species
GAUGAACGCUAGCGGCAGGCUUAACACAUGCAAGUCGAGGGGUAACAGGGUGCUUGCACCGCUGACGACCGGCGCACGGGUGCGUAACGCGUAUACAAUCUACCUUUUACAGGAGAAUAGCCCAGAGAAAUUUGGAUUAAUGCUCCAUAGUAUUAUAAAGUGGCAUCAUUUAAUAAUUAAAACUUCGGUGGUAAAAGAUGAGUAUGCGUUCUAUUAGCUAGUAGGUAAGGUAACGGCUUACCUAGGCAACGAUAGAUAGGGGUCCUGAGAGGGAGAUCCCCCACACUGGUACUGAGACACGGACCAGACUCCUACGGGAGGCAGCAGUGAGGAAUAUUGGACAAUGGAGGCAACUCU